rnacentral:SRP_RNA from 20 species
UGGCGGGCUAGUCUGGGUAGGCCGGCGUUACCUAUAACCCGAAAUCGUCGAUAUGCGGGAGACGAAGCCAAAAGAAGUUGUUUUGAUCAUAUCUAAACCUGUGAUCUCAACUGAGAAGCCCCGUCCUGCUUGGAUGAUGUUGGUAGAAGAACUAAUUGGAGAAUUGGUUUUCCUAUCUUUACAGUGGGAACCAGUCGAGGCCCGGAAGGGAGCAGACCUACCAUUGACAUUUGUCGCUUGUAGGGCUGCGGGGUGGAGGAGAGGUUGCAGAUCAUUUGGAUUUGUGACAAGCGGCAACUCGCGGUAUGCCCGCCA